UAUCGUACACAGCUGGAAACCCACAAAUAAGUAAGACCUUGCAUGUUGUGAAGUCCAGAAAGAGUCGAGAAAAAAUUUUGCCUUUUUCUCUCCCUUCAUCCGAACUGUAAAAAUAUUAAAUAAAAGAGAAUACUUGGAGUUUAAAUAGAGAAAAGCUAACUUCAGAUGUCUCAGGGAAACCUGCUUCAGGGCAGGAGCAUUCUGGCAGUUGAGACAUUCUGGCAGUUGUUGGUGUUUUUCCUCUCCUCCCCUCCCUCAAGUUUUUCAUACUCAUACUUGCCAGCUUUAUUAAUAUGAUUUUGAUUAUGUAGCAUCUGUUUUGGACAGAGCCAAUAGGAUUGGAACCUCUACUUUGGUCCAUCAGUCUGAGAGGACUUAAAAAAAAAUUAGGAAAUUAACCCAGAAGACCUCCAGAAAAGAGAGUAUUGCACUUCAAGUCAGUUUGAGCUGCAGGGAACCCUGGGACAUCUUGACUGGAGGAGGCUGUGCCGGCAAAGGGGUGCUCCUCGGGCAUGCAGGGCCUCUUCUAGAGGCCAUGACAGUGGGACUCCUCUUGUUCUCCAUCUACACUGGGACUUUGGGAACCAAGAUGAACAUUUUGAUGCCACUGCUUUGCAACAGAUUCCAGAGCUGGCAGCAGUGCCCAGGCAGAGGACUGUGGAAAGGUGGGCACUGGUGAGCACAGCAGGCUUCCAAGAAGAGAAAAGCAGGAGUACCCAAGGCCCGGUAGGAAAGUUCAGGUGGAGGUGAUGGCACUUGGAUUUGAACAAAGGCAGUUGGACUACGGAACACAUGAGCCCCUUUUCUGGAGGCCCAUUCUGCCCCCUCCAGUGACUUAGCCCACACUCCUGGUGGCUCUUCCACCAACCCCUGAAGCUGUGAAAUAGCACGAGACUCAAUGGCUCCAAGAUGAGGACCUAGCAGAGCUGGGUCCCUGGAGGUCACUGAGGGGCUGUGCCUGGAGCUUCGCGGAAGGGGAAGUGCCUCUGGGUGACUCUGUGGUGCAUGUACAGUAAGUCUACCCUCCAGCUCCCUCCUCUGUCACCCACUGGGCUGGAGAACCAGACCUUCUGUGGUCCUUCAGCUCUACUUCCUACAGAGCACCUUCCCCUGACUUUUCAUGAUUAAACUGCAAAUUCCCCAGAGACCUUUGCUUCCUUCUCUCUGCUGCCUGAUGCUUCAAACUUGGAAGCACAUUUCUGACCCAAAAGGCAGCUUUCAAGGUACAUGGGGAAUGAAGAGGAAAAAAAAAGAAAGGAAGCCACAAACUCACUUUGUAAGCAAGGCCAUUACUCAAACACAGGCAGAUUAGAGCUGAGUUGUGAGAGCCCUGGAAUCUAUUAUUCAGACCCAUGACUUAUGUAGGUCAGUGUAAACAACCCCAAGCACAAAACAGUUAAUUUUUAUGAUGGGUGAGGCAUCCAAUUUAAGUGGAUUGUUCAACAUGCUUUAUUAUGGUUCAAGCCAAUUUUCGAUUGAGAACAAGGCACAAAGAUUGGGGUAGCGACUGAAC